GUUGCAGAUCCUCAUCGUUUCUUUGGGAGAGGAUCUCGUCAAUGAUCCAUUUUUCUCCAUGGAUUCGCGAUGGAGCUGCUCUAGGAGGAGCUUCUUCUUUGGACGCCAUGGAAUCUUCAAGGAGAGGAACACUCGGCUGAAGAACUCGACAUGGAGGAUCUGAAACCUCGCAAGGAAGAAGGAGAGGUACGUCAGCAACAAGU